GACGAACGCUGGCGGCGUGCUUAACACAUGCAAGUCGAACGGAAAGGCCCUGCUUUUGUGGGGUGCUCGAGUGGCGAACGGGUGAGUAACACGUGAGUACCUGCCCUUGACUUUGGGGUAACUUCAGGAAACUGGGGCUAAUACCGGAUAGGAGCUCCUGCUGCAUGGUGGGGGUUGGAAAGUUUCGGCGGUUGGGGAUGGACUCGCGGCUUAUCAGCUUGUUGGUGGGGUAGUGGCUUACCAAGGCUUUGACGGGUAGCCGGCCUGAGAGGGUGACCGGCCACAUUGGGACUGAGAUACGGCCCAGACUCCUACGGGAGGCAGCAGUGGGGAAUAUUGCACAAUGGGCGGAAGCCUGAUGCAGCAACGCCGCGUGCGGGAUGACGGCCUUCGGGUUGUAAACCGCUUUCGCCUGUGACGAAGCGUGAGUGACGGUAAUGGGUAAAGAAGCACCGGCUAACUACGUG
rnacentral:rRNA from 1 species